GGCGAUCAGAUACCGCCCUAGUUCUAACCGUAAACGAUGCGAACCAGCGAUCCGCCGGCGUUAAUCACGACCCGGCGGGCAGCUUCCCGGAAACGAAAGUCUUUCCGUUCCGGGGGAAGUAUGGUUGCAAAGCUGAAACUUAAAGGAAUUGACGGAAGGGCACCACCAGGAGUGGAGCCUGCGGCUUAAUUUGACUCAACACGGGGAAACUCACCCGGCCAGGACACUGUAAGGAUUGACAGAUUGAGAGCUCUUUCUUGAUUCAGUGGGUGGUGGUGCAUGGCCGUUCUUAGUUGGUGGAGCGAUUUGUCUGGUUAAUUCCGAUAACGAACGAGACUCUGGCCUGCUAAAUAGCGAGCGGAUCCUCGGCGUCCGCGGAGCUUCUUAGAGGGACAAGCGGUGUUCAGCCGCAUGAAAAAGAGCAAUAACAGGUCUGUGAUGCCCUUAGAUGUCCGGGGCUGCACGCGCGCUACACUGAAGGAGUCAACGCGCUUUAAAACCUGGCCCGAAAGGGCCGGGUAACCGGAUGAAAAUCUUUCGUGCUUGGGAUAGGGACUUGCAAUUAUUUCCCUUGAACGAGGAAUUCCUAGUAAGUGCGGGUCAUCAGCUCGCGCUGAUUACGUCCCUGCCCUUUGUA
rnacentral:rRNA from 1 species